rnacentral:rRNA from 1 species
CCUACGGGCGGCAGCAGUGGGGAAUAUUGGACAAUGGGGGGAACCCUGAUCCAGCCAUGCCGCGGGUGUGAAGAAGGCCCUCGGGUUGUAAAGCACUUUCAGUGAGGAAGAACGCCUGGUGGUUAAUACCCAUCAGGAAAGACAUCACUCACAGAAGAAGCACCGGCUAACUCCGUGCCAGCAGCCGCGGUAAUACGGAGGGUGCGAGCGUUAAUCGGAAUUACUGGGCGUAAAGCGCGCGUAGGUGGCUUGAUAAGCCGGUUGUGAAAGCCCCGGGCUCAACCUGGGAACGGCAUCCGGAACUGUCAAGCUAGAGUGCAGGAGAGGAAGGUAGAAUUCCCGGUGUAGCGGUGAAAUGCGUAGAGAUCGGGAGGAAUACCAGUGGCGAAGGCGGCCUUCUGGACUGACACUGACACUGAGGUGCGAAAGCGUGGGUAGCAAACAGGAUUAGAUACCCUAGUAGUC